GAGGUAUAAAAAGAAAAUUUUGUUUUUGCUAGGGUUGGCAUUUGCUCUCUUGUUUGUGGCGAUUCUUGGCGUCUGCUGUCAACAACUCGAAGGACAUAUAAAUCCAAGGUUCCACUGCUGUUUUUGGCCGAAACCUUCUACGAUCUGCAUUUCUUUGCUGUUAUCUUCGACGAUCUCGACAGGUUUGAUGACUUUGUUUGAAUAUCUGAGUUUUUUUUUUUUUUUUAGUUUGGAGUUUGAUUGCAAGUUCGAAGUUUCUUUUGCUGUUUUUUUUUUUUUUUUUUUUUUUUUGCUUGGUAUUGAUUUGGGAAAUCCAUUAAAUUUUAGAGUCGUUAAAUGGUUUGCUAAAAAGUUCAAAUUUUUUUGAGAGUUUUGCGUUUGAUGGGUCGCAAGGUUUGGUCAUUGAUGUCUAUUACCCAACCUCUAUUUGUUUAGAUUUCAUAAUUUUUUUAUUUUUAUUUUUAUAUCUAAUUAACAAUGGGUUUUGCUUUAGGAAGAUUUCUUAGCAUUACAAUGGUUUCACUUUGAAUAGACAAUGGAAAGGCCAAUCUAAUAAUGGGUUUUGGUUAAAUUUUCAGUUCUUGUUAUCUAAAAUUUUCGAAGUUUAAGUUGAAUUUUCUCAAUAAUUAGCAUGUAAGUUAAGAGCUGAUGUGUUCUUUUUUAGGUGGAGUGUCUUCUAUUUAUUUGAUUCAAGUGUCUUUUUAUUUUAUUAAUCCUGAUGGUCCCAAUUAACAAGGACUUCCAUUCCCUAUGUAUGAUUGAUUUUCAUUCGAUAUGAAAAUCAAAUAAAUAGAAGAAUUCAGGGCCCGAAUUAGCUUGAAAACUCCAUCCCUUUUUUGAUAUAUAUUUAUUACUAAUUGAUUCUUUAGUUAUAAGUAACAAUUAAUUCCUAACAAUGACGCACCCAAUAUACCUGUCAUUACUUUUCUUCUCUUUUAUCACUACCAGGCAUCUAUGGAGACUCCAUUAGAAUCAGGAUUUUUGUAAACAAUGGCAAAGAAAAUUUGUAGAAAAGUUUAGAGAAUAAAAUAGAAGGCUACAAUACAAUAUCUUUAACAGGGAAAGAAAAAUAUCAAAGGAGUGCAACCAGCAAGAAGACAACCCAAAAGGCACUGUUUUUCUGUCAGUUCCUUUUUCUCUCUCACAUUUUUUUUAAAAAUACCCAACAUGUUGCCCAAAAGAAAGUCGAAUAUGAAGGCAAUUGAAACUGCCAGGUGUUAAGCCUUUUUGGCUUCAGCAUAUGAUAAGGAUUUCCACAAUAUGAGAUUUCUUCAAAUCUAGAACAUGGUGAACACCUAUUAAAAGUUUUUAUUAGACCAUUAUGUAUUCUAUUCCUUGAUGUGCCUAUUAAAGGACUCGUCCUUUCUUGUCUUCCUUAUCAUUAAACUUAGGACACUUUCUCCACAUGGCCAAUCUUUCCACGUUAAUAACAUGCAUUCUUCUUUUUAGUCCUAGACAUGUGCGUUAUUGAAUUCAUCAAAUGGCCUCCAAUCUACAAAGUAAAGAGGCCAUAUUUCACUUACAACUGGUUUUUUAAUCACAGAGAUCACAGGGUAAUUGCCUCCUUUUUUACCAAAUUAAUUAUAUUUACAUACUUUUGAGUAUCUAAUUUGUAUCUUGGUUUUCAUAAUAACUUUUUGGAAAUGCAAAAAUGACUAUUGCUUCAUUGUUUACUGUCAUAUGCUGUGGACAAUUGGCUAAUAUUUGACUUAUAUUUUCUGCAUGUGCUUCCUGCUGUUAUGUAAAUGCUAUGAUGGGAUUCAAUUUGAGGUCAUCUUCAAAAAUUUGGAACUAAGCUUGAAAAAAAAGUCGCUAUAUAUUACAAACAAGAAAAGCUGGACUAGUAUUUUUGAGAUGUGUUGGGCAGUUAGAAGAAAAUUGUAAUAUUUGCUACCAUGUAUUAUUUACAUUUUAUCUCUUGUAAUAAAUAAUACAAUUAACUUAGUUGUGUAUAGAGAUUCAAAACAGAUUUAUUUAUGUCAACUUUUAAUAAAGGUU